UUUUGGGGAAAGAUUAAGAUUAAUAUUUUCCCAAAACCCUAAUAAAUUUAUGGCAGAAGUGUCAAAUAGGCUCAUCUAAUAUCUCGAAGUGUUCAAUUCACCCCACCGUCUAAAACAUAUGGUAAUUAGGCACACUUACCUCCUAAAAUUGUUCAAUGAGCUUUUUUCGCAGGUUACCUUCGGGUUACCAAUCCACAUUACUGACAUGUAAUUUUAGUAUAAUAAAAGUAUGUAGUCAGGUGGAAAUGUGUGGUCAUAUGUGGCUCCAUCACUGACUUCAGAGUCUUCCUCUCUGUUGUCUUCGUACGGUUCUUCAUCGCUUCCUGGUAUAAGUUCUGCAAACCCUGUCAGCUGUCCACGACGGCGUAAGUUCUUCGAUUCUCCAAAAACGUUCUAGUUGCCGGCUGAAAACUGGGGUUCGGACAAAACAACAACAAUUCCGAUGAAGAAUCGUCCACAAUUAGGGAUAACCACUCGAUGGAGGUUUAAUAUUUU